AGCGCCUGCUUUGCACGCAGGAGGUCUGCGGUUCGAUCCCGCAUAGCUCCACCA
rnacentral:tRNA from 1 species